AUUAACGCCAGGCAUUCUGCUGUCCACUUCAAUUCGACUUCUGUGCGCUUUUAGUUGCCUUUAGUUAUUCCUCACAUUAUUUUUUCCAUUCGUUGCCAUCUAGUGUUGGCGUUGUUGUUGCUAUUGUGUUUCGCAGCUUUUAUUGAAAGAUUUAUGAAAUUGACUGCCAUUUGACCAUUUCGUUUGCAAUUUAAUGGAGUCAACGGCGUCAGUUAAUAGACCAGUAGGCCGUACCGCGACACGACACGCCGCGCUAUUAAUGCAAUGAAAGCAAUUUUCUCGCUGCUCUUGAUAAGUGGAUAUGUACAAUACAUAUGAAAACAAUGGGUCGCUGAAAUUAUGGGGAAUUAUGAAUGAGCGCUUUAUGUGAGCUUUGGUGCAAAAUGUGUUGCGAUGGUAUUCGGAUAUAUUUAUAUGCUAUAAAAAUAAAUUUUUGUAUGCGUAAAUUAGAGCUAAUCAGCAUUGUUAAGCCGUUACGUAGUUAGAGUAUGAAUAUGAUCCUAUAUUGUUCGAUUUUCUUCGGAAUAAAGCAGAUUUUUUCAAACUGUA